GCAGCCAAGAGCCUCCUGGCACAGCGGCACCAGGCAGGUGGCGCCUAUUGGACCCCAGAGGUCAUCCCAGCUCCAGACGUGGGCACAUUUUCUUCCAAUGAUGUCUACAGAUGAGGAAACUGAGGCCUGGAGAGGUUAAAGAGACCCGUUCAGAGUCCUACAGUGGCAGGUCUUUAUUUUCAUUAAAGAAGCUUAAAUAUUUUGUCAAGUUCAAAAAA
rnacentral:sRNA from 1 species